UACGGAAGGCAGCAGUGGGGAAUAUUGCACAGUGGGCGCAAGCCUGAUGCAGCCAUGCCGCGUGUAUGAAGAAGGCCUUCGGGUUGUAAAGUACUUUCAGUCGUGAGGAAGGUGUUAAGGUUAAUAACCUUAGCAAUUGACGUUAGCGACAGAAGAAGCACCGGCUAACUCCGUGCCAGCAGCCGCGGUAAUACGGAGGGUGCGAGCGUUAAUCGGAAUUACUGGGCGUAAAGGGCACGCAGGCGGUUAAUUAAGUUGGAUGUGAAAUCCCCGGGCUUAACCUGGGAAUGGCAUUCAAGACUGGUUAGCUAGAGUCUUGUAGAGGGGGUAGAAUUCCAUGUGUAGCGGUGAAAUGCGUAGAGAUGUGGAGGAAUACCGGUGGCGAAGGCGGCCCCUGGGACAAAGACUGACGCUCAUGUGCGAAAGCGUGGGGAGCAAACAGGAUUAGAUACC
rnacentral:rRNA from 1 species